UUUUAGGGAGACCCGAAUCAAUCCAAAAGAUUAUGGAUUCACGGAUUCAUAAUUUUGAAUUGAUGUAUCCCGAGGUCGGUCGAGGAAAAGUUGUUGGCUUUCAACCUAUGAUUGGUUCGAUCUAAGUCGCACUCAGACAACCGAACAACAAAGUACGGUUGUGAGUAGGCAAACAGUCAAAGAGAUUGUUACACUCAAAAAUGGCGGCUGCAAAUAUUGCUUUUUAGCAAUAGGUGAGUCAAGAAAUAGAUCCAGCAAUAUUGCUUGAGACAGCAAGACUGCUGGGUGUGAUCCAGCCAGAACCUUGAAAACUGCAUAGUAACGCGAAGCAGGUAGACACAGAGAUUCUAUGAUUGCAUGGAUGAAAGUGUUUGCUUAUAUAGAUAUCACCAAUUGUUGAGU
rnacentral:misc_RNA from 1 species